AUUUCAUCUCGCCCCCGUCGGUGUCCUCCGUCCCGUUCGCCCGCCGCGCCGCCGCCCGCCGUCCUCACCCAUCGCCCCAAAGCGGAGCCCCCACCGCGCGACGGCGCGCCGCGUCCUCCGGUUCUCUGAGAGGCGCGCCCGUGCGCUCCCGGUCACCACCAGAUUUCGCAGGCUUGGUCGAUGGCGUCGCCGGGGCCGUCCUCCCCUCCGCCCGCCCGCUCCGGGCGCCGCCGCCCGCCCGUCGACUCGAACGCCACGGGCGUGCUGCCCCCGGACGUGCUGUUCGAUGUCCUGCUGCGGCUGCCCGCCAAGGAGCUCUGCCGCCUCCGCGCCGUCUGCCGCUCCUGGCGCGAGCUCACCUCCGCCCCGCUCUUCAUCAGCGAGCACGCGGCGCGCCACCCGCUCUUCCUGGCCAAUUACCGGGACGACGAGGCGCACAUCCAUAUCGUGGAUCUGUCCGGCAGCGUGGUGAAGCGGAUACCCAACGCGGACGGCCACCGGCUGCUCCCCACGCGCCUCGAUCUGGCCUGCGCGGCGACGGUGAGCAACCGCUGCCGUGUGCUUGAUCCGGCUACCGGAAGGGUUCGCAUCCUGCCGGAGAGCCCCGCGCCGGAGCAUGCAGAUCGAGAGAAUUUAUGGUACACCAAUUUCGCAUUUGCGAGGAUUGGUUCUACUGGAGAGGACAAGGUGCUACGGAUGUUCCCGAUGUUCAGCAGGUCGACCCUUCUAUGUGAGGUGCUUACCAUCAACGGUGCUUCUGGUUCUUGUUCCAGCCAUGCGCAGUGGAGGGCGAGGCCGAGCAAUGAUCACUUUGCCGGGCAGUUUGCCACCGUCGUUGGUGAAGUGGUCUACUUUAAGGUGGAUAUUGUAUACUCGUAUUACGGUUCUAUAAUUGGUGUUGUCAACCUUGGCAUUCCUCUUUACGAGAUCCAUUCCUUUGACCUUGGGAGAGAGGAAUGGAGGGGAACUCUGCGAGGGCCAAUACGUGUCAUCUUUGGAACCGAUGAGUAUGAUGAUGAUUUGGAUGACUACUCUUACAUUCGGCAUGAGAUUACUCUAGCUGAUCUGAGAGGCUCCUUAGCUCUUGUGAACUACCGUAAGUGCAAGCACAUCAUGAACCUCUGGCUUCUGAAAGACUUUGACAAUGGUGUCUGGGUGAAAGAGUAUAGGAUUCAGAUUGAACCUAUUUUCUCGACUGCCGAGAUGUGUGUAAAGGCAUUGUUUAUGUUAGAUGAUGGAAGGGUAGUCAUCCAUUUCCCAGUGACUGGACUGCUGUUCAUGUAUGAUCCAAGAACCAACACUUCUGCACAGGUGGAGAUGCGGCAACUUGAUGCGCUUGCGAUGUACACUGGAAAUCUGCUGAGUUUACAAGUUGGUGACAUGGUGUAGUGUUGCAACAGCUGCUACUUGCUACACUGUUUUGCGCUAAUCAAAUCCAAAUUUACAUGGACCUUGUAAAUGUAAACAAAGGGCCUCUGCAAACCAAGAUUGCAAGGAUUGACUCUGCAAAACCUUAAACCUGGACUGCUGAUGAAGGUAGAACUGCUGGCUUCAAUUGUUUCCUCGACAGCCCGUUCCCAUCCUCUUUGCCUGAGACUAUUUUUUGAAAAGGAAUUUGCCUUUGCACUUUCACACCUUUCACACUCAAUGCGAGGCUGGAAAGACCCUUCAGCUUCUGAGGUUUUGUGUGUAAAAUCCAACAUCACUCUCUAGCUGCUUUAUUCGUCAGUUUGGCACCAUCAUUGCUGCUACUAAGUAUCUGAAGUGCUACUCUCUUUAUGUAAGUGCGCUCACCAUUUUGUAGUGUUGCUGUAAAAGUUCUACUCUGAAUGCAUCUCCAUGCCAUUUGCGCCUGUCUGUGAUACCCAUUUUCAGACAGGACCUCUUCUGAAUUGACUACAAGUUGAUAUAAAUCAAGGUUUCCUUUAUUCUGUAUAGUUCCCUGGUA